rnacentral:rRNA from 1 species
UACAGAGGGGGCAAGCGUUAUUCGGAAUUAUUGGGCGUAAAGCGCACGUAGGCGGCUUUGUAAGUUAGAGGUGAAAGCCCGGGGCUCAACUCCGGAACUGCCUUUAAGACUGCAUCGCUAGAGUCCGGAAGAGGAGAGUGGAAUUCCUGGUGUAGCGGUGAAAUGCGCAGAUAUCAGGAAGAACACCCGUGGCGAAAGCGGCUCUCUGGAACGGUACUGACGCUGAGACGCGAAAGCGUGGGGAGCGAACAGG